rnacentral:rRNA from 1 species
UCGUAACAAGGUUUCCGUCUAGGUGAACCUGCGGAAGGAUCAUUGUCGAAACCUGCACUAGCAGAAAGACCCGUGAACCCGUUUAAAAACACACGGGGGGCAGCGUUCGGCCCUAGGCCAGCGAUGCCCCUCGAGUCCUUGGAGAGCCCCCCUCCUCGCGAGUUGGGUUCUUCCAAGGCACAAACAAACCCCGGCGCGGAUUGCGCCAAGGACUAUGAACAAUAGCGCGUCCCACGUCACUCGGUUAGCCCGAAGUGUGCGUGGGGCGACGUGUCGUUUCGAUUUACUUGAACGACUCUCGGCAACGGAUAUCUCGGCUCUCGCAUCGAUGAAGAACGUAGCGAAAUGCGAUACUUGGUGUGAAUUGCAGAAUCCCGUGAACCAUCGAGUCUUUGAACGCAAGUUGCGCCCGAAGCCUUCGGGCCAAGGGCACGUCUGCCUGGGCGUCACGCACCGCGUCGCCCCCCACCCCCAUACAAUGGGAGUGUUGGGGCGGAUUCUGGCCCCCCGUGCGCUGCCCGCUCGCGGUCGGCCUAAACACAGACCCCGUGGCCGCGAAAUGCCGCGACGAUUGGUGGUGUCCUUGUGGCCUCGUGCCUCGAGCAUCGCGUCGCGCCUUUUGCGGCCCAUGGUAGGUCAAAGGACCCUGAAGGAGACCCCCAUCGGCGUCCAUCCAUCAAUGUGUGGACGACGAUGGGAUACCCUAACCGUUGCGACCCCAGGUCAGGCGGGACUACCCGCUGAGUUUAAGCUUUAA